rnacentral:rRNA from 1 species
AUUGAACGCUGGCGGCAGGCCUAACACAUGCAAGUCGAGCGCCCGGCGGACGGGUGAGUAUUGUCUGGGAAACUGCUCGUUGGAGGUGGCUAACUACAGGAAACGCUAGCUAUUACCGCAUCCCAUCAGCUCUUCCCCGAUGGGAUUAGCUAGUAGGUGGGGUAACGGCUCACCCAGGCGACGAUCCCUAGCUGGUCUGAGAGGAUGACCAGCCACACUGGAACUGAGACACGGUCCAGACUCCUACGGGAGGCAGCAGUGGGGAAUAUUGCACAAUGGGCGAAAGCCUGAUGAAGCCAUGCCGCGGGUGUGAAGAAGGCCUUCGGGUUGUAAAGCACUUUAAGCGGGGAGGCGUUACCCGCAGAAGAAGCACCGGCUAACUCCGUGCCAGCAGCCGCGGUAAUUC